rnacentral:rRNA from 1 species
UACGGGGGGGGUAAGCGUUGUUCGGAAUUACUGGGCGUAAAGGGCUCGUAGGCGGCCAACUAAGUCAGACGUGAAAUCCCUCAGCUUAACUGGGGAACUGCGUCUGAUACUGGAUGGCUUGGAUUUGGGAGAGGAAUGCGGAAUUCCAGGUGUAGCGGUGAAAUGCGUAGAUAUCUGGAGGAACACCGGUGGCGAAGGCGGCAUUCUGGACCAAUAUUGACACUGAGGAGCGAAAGCCAGGGGAGCAAACGGG